AUUGAACGCUGGCGGAAUGCUUUACACAUGCAAGUCGAACGGCAGCACGGACUUCGGUCUGGUGGCGAGUGGCGAACGGGUGAGUAAUGUAUCGGAACGUGCCCAGUCGUGGGGGAUAACGUAGUGAAAAUUACGCUAAUACCGCAUACGAUCUAUGGAUGAAAGCGGGGGAUCGCAAGACCUCGCGCGAUUGGAGCGGCCGAUAUCAGAUUAGGUAGUUGGUGGGGUAAAGGCCCACCAAGCCAACGAUCUGUAGCUGGUCUGAGAGGACGACCAGCCACGCUGGAACUGAGACACGGUCCAGACUCCUGCGGGAGGCAGCAGUGGGGAAUUUUGGACAAUGGGCGAAAGCCUGAUCCAGCCAUUCCGCGUGCAGGAUGAAGGCCCUCGGGAUGUAAACUGCUUUUGUACAGAACGAAAAGGUUUCUACUAAUACUAGGAGCUCAUGACGGUACUGUAAGAAUAAGCACUGGCUAACUACGUGCCAGCCGCCGCAGUAA
rnacentral:rRNA from 1 species